rnacentral:rRNA from 2 species
AACGAACUCUGGUAUUGAUUGGUGCUUGCAUCAUGAUUUACAUUUGAGUGAGUGGCGAACUGGUGAGUAACACGUGGGAAACCUGCCCAGAAGCGGGGGAUAACACCUGGAAACAGAUGCUAAUACCGCAUAACAACUUGGACCGCAUGGUCCGAGCUUGAAAGAUGGCUUCGGCUAUCACUUUUGGAUGGUCCCGCGGCGUAUUAGCUAGAUGGUGGGGUAACGGCUCACCAUGGCAAUGAUACGUAGCCGACCUGAGAGGGUAAUCGGCCACAUUGGGACUGAGACACGGCCCAAACUCCUACGGGAGGCAGCAGUAGGGAAUCUUCCACAAUGGACGAAAGUCUGAUGGAGCAACGCCGCGUGAGUGAAGAAGGGUUUCGGCUCGUAAAACUCUGUUGUUAAAGAAGAACAUAUCUGAGAGUAACUGUUCAGGUAUUGACGGUAUUUAACCAGAAAGCCACGGCUAACUACGUGCCAGCAGCCGCGGUAAUACGUAGGUGGCAAGCGUUGUCCGGAUUUAUUGGGCGUAAAGCGAGCGCAGGCGGUUUUUUAAGUCUGAUGUGAAAG